rnacentral:lncRNA from 1 species
GAGCGAACCGCAGCGGAGGCUUCAUCGCGGUGUGGAAGCUGAUGGACGACGUUGACCAAAACCAGAAGCCAAAUGUCUUUGCAACCGUGGAGAAACUGCGACACCAGCGCAUGCUCGCCGUCCAGACUCCGAGGAUGUAUUACUACGUCCAUAAAUGCAUCGACCUCUACGUUGAAAAGAAGAAAAUUUUAAGUGAAGAAGUUCCGUAUGACAUUUGCGACUCGGUAGCUGAGUCGCCCAAUAUUUACGAAGAAUGAGACAUGGCAGGCGCCAGAAUAUUUUGUUGCAGUGCAACUUUGGUUUUGAAGCGUAAAAUUUUAGCCUUUCUAUAUAGUAAUCUUUUUCAAAGAAAUUUUUACGUAUAAUGUUUAAAUUAUA